UACGUAGGUGGCAAGCGUUAUCCGGAUUUAUUGGGCGUAAAGGGAACGCAGGCGGUCUUUUAAGUCUGAUGUGAAAGCCUUCGGCUUAACCGGAGUAGUGCAUUGGAAACUGGGAGACUUGAGUGCAGAAGAGGAGAGUGGAACUCCAUGUGUAGCGGUGAAAUGCGUAGAUAUAUGGAAGAACACCAGUGACGAAAGCGGCUCUCUGGUCUGUAACUGACGCUGAGGUUCGAAAGCGUGGGUAGCAAACAGG
rnacentral:rRNA from 1 species